GAUGAUGCGGUAGAGGAGCGUUCUGUAAGCCUGUGAAGGUGAGUUGAGAAGCUUGCUGGAGGUAUCAGAAGUGCGAAUGCUGACAUGAGUAACGACAAUGGGAGUGAAAAACUCCCACGCCGAAAGACCAAGGUUUCCUGCGCAACGUUAAUCGACGCAGGGUUAGUCGGUCCCUAAGGCGAGGCUGAAAAGCGUAGUCGAUGGAAAACAGGUUAAUAUUCCUGUACUUCCAGUUAUUGCGAUGGAGGGACGGAGAAGGCUAGGCCAGCUUGGCGUUGGUUGUCCAAGUUUAAGGUGGUAGGCUGAGAUCUUAGGCAAAUCCGGGAUCUCAAGGCCGAGAGCUGAUGACGAGUUGCCUUUAGGCGACGAAGUGGUUGAUGCCAUGCUUCCAAGAAAAGCUCCUAAGCUUCAGAUAACUGGGAACCGUACCCCAAACCGACACAGGUGGUCGGGUAGAGAAUACCAAGGCGCUUGAGAGAACUCGGGUGAAGGAACUAGGCAAAAUGGCACCGUAACUUCGGGAGAAGGUGCGCCGGCGAGGGUGAAGGACUUGCUCCGUAAGCCCAUGUCGGUCGAAGAUACCAGGCCGCUGCGACUGUUUAUUAAAAACACAGCACUCUGCAAACACGAAAGUGGACGUAUAGGGUGUGACGCCUGCCCGGUGCCGGAAGGUUAAUUGAUGGGGUUAGCGCAAGCGAAGCUCUUGAUCGAAGCCCCGGUAAACGGCGGCCGUAACUAUAACGGUCCUAAGGUAGCGAAAUUCCUUGUCGGGUAAGUUCCGACCUGCACGAAUGGCGUAACGAUGGCGGCGCUGUCUCCACCCGAGACUCAGUGAAAUUGAAAUCGCUGUGAAGAUGCAGUGUAUCCGCGGCUAGACGGAAAGACCCCGUGAACCUUUACUAUAGCUUUGCACUGGACUUUGAAUUUGCUUGUGUAGGAUAGGUGGGAGGCUUUGAAGUGGGGACGCCAGUUCUCAUGGAGCCAUCCUUGAAAUACCACCCUGGCAACUUUGAGGUUCUAACUCAGGUCCGUUAUCCGGAUCGAGGACAGUGUAUGGUGGGUAGUUUGACUGGGGCGGUCUCCUCCCAAAGAGUAACGGAGGAGUACGAAGGUGCGCUCAGACCGGUCGGAAAUCGGUCG
rnacentral:rRNA from 1 species